rnacentral:rRNA from 1 species
UACGAAGGGGGGCUAGCGUUGUUCGGAUUUACUGGGCGUAAAGCGCGUGUAGGCGGGUCGUUUAAGUUGGGGGUGAAAUCCCGAGGCUCAACCUCGGAACUGCCUUCAAAACUGGCGACCUGGACUCAAGCAGAGGCAAGUGGAAUUGCGAGUGUAGAGGUGAAAUUCGUAGAUAUUCGCAAGAACACCAGUGGCGAAGGCGGCUCACUGGCCCGAUACUGACGCUGAGGCACGAAAGCGUGGGGAGCAAACAGG